GGAGGAUCCCGUAAGACGAUCCAUGGGAAUGGAAAGGGGGCUGGUCAAGAGGAGGGGACAAAGGGGAACUCCCCCCUCCGGCCCUCCUUUCACCCCCACGCAGACAAAACAAACAGGAAGGAGCUGAUCCAUGGUGCAGUCCCACCUCCACCUUGAACACCUGGGUCACCCCUACAAAACAUCUCACCAAUGUCCUCCAGCUACCGUCCUUGUCCAACAUCUCCAAUGUUCUUCUCUGCUGCUACAGACUUCCUCCUACAGACAACAGCUCCGGCAUCAAAGGUCUGCUGGUGAUUCUCAUGAUGGAUUUGGUUAUGGUUCAUGUUGGAUACCUUUCCAGACAGCACAUCCAUCCAUCCAUCCAAAGGAUUUGGAACCAGCACGAAAAACCCUGGAUUGUGUCCCCUUGUGUACAUUUAAAAUUUCUCCUGAUGUACUUGAAUCCACUCAUUGACAUUUAGAGGGCUGCAGUUGGAGUUUACCCCUCAGUGUUCAGUGGGCUCCUCACCUCCAUGUGGAGUUUGAUCAGGAGGUCCAGCUUUUGUCCUGCAGGACCUCCAGAACACGAGAACUUCUCACUGAGGUCAAGACUCUGACCGCUCCCACGCCGGCCAAAUGCAAUGACAGAAAUGAGUUUGGAGCAGGUGCAGCCAGGGAUCUUUGUGGAGGUGGGAGGCGCGACUCACUUUAUUACUGGGAGUUCAGUUGCUGAGCUGCACACACAGAAACAGAAUGACGGUGACGCCAGAGGCUGCAAACACAAAACGCAGAAAAAAAGCCAAAGCUGGGAAAUAUUUUAAGUAGAACUUCCUCCAUUUUUAACAAAAAAAAGAACAUCCUGUUUAAUAUGAGCAAAUGAGGGACCAACCCCCCCAAUAGUGCUGCCUUUUUUAAACAAACAUUAAAAAUAUUUCUGCUUCCAUUUAGAAUGUGUGUCUUUAUUAAUGGGAACAAAUGGAUUUUCUGCUAAACAGACUUAGAAUGGAGGAAACAGAACAGCAAAAAUCUGAGAGGAAGAGGAGCGUGUCUGGACAUAAACAAGCUCAUUUUCCUUUUAAUCAAUCAAUUAAUCUCCACUGAGCCCUCAAAUCGGAUCCUAUCUCCCAGAAAAGACGAUGAAACCCAAAUGAUUGGGGAUAAUCGACAGCUCUCAUUCCAUUCUGUGGUUUGAUGAGUUCAGUCGACAAAAAGAAGCUGAUUCAGCUACAAGCUGAUCUCCUGCCAGGACAAAAAUGUUAAAAAUGUCAGCUUCAUUAAACGUUCAAUCUUUCCUGCACUGGAGAUAAACUGAACUCGGGCUGCUGCAGGUCAAAGGCCGGCUUCUGCGUGGGUCGUCGGUGUGGUGAGAUUCGCAGGGAUGGUCCUCCCCCAGACACAAAAACAAACAGAUAAAAGUGACAUUCCACCCUAAAAAAGGAGAGCGACCCCAUCAGACCCCUGUUUGAGCACUGCCGUCAUGCCAGGGGGACUCCCGCUCCAGUCUGUCAGUCCAAAGGGGAGGUCAGUUUUUCUGUCAGCUCCUCAUACGGGAGGACACCGAGUCUCCGGGACGCAGAGUUUCACAGGGGUUCUCUGAAAACAAAUGAGGAUGUCAGCAAAUAAGAGGGGGGGCCGUCCAUGUUUGGACUGCAAGGCUCUUUGUUUGUCCGUCCGCUGCAGGAACAGAACUCUGUGAACUGUUUAGCAGGCCUCUGUGUGUGUGUCUUUGUGUGUGUGUGUGUGUUUUCAGGGAGGACACGACACUCGGGCCGAGGAGGAAGGAAGCUGAACGACCGGGGAGUCGAGCAUCUGGAGGUCACUCAGACAAGCUUGUUAAAUUCAACAGAAACUUAAAGCAAACGGGAGUUCAGCAAGAAUGUUUCAGCGCUUCUUCCCACGAGGCCAUCAGUCAUCUUCAACACAAGCAGAAGAGGCAGAGUGGCAGCUCAUCUCUGACAGCUUUAAUUGUCCAGAUGAAAAACAACAACAUGGAGUCAGGGAUCACCGUGUACCUGCGUGUGGAAACACCAAGAUGUUCAGCAGAUGUGUUUCCAUGUUGUUGAGCAAACUGGAUAAUUAUCAUUCAGCUGCAGCUGAGGCAGACAGGAAUGUCUGUACCACUGCAGGUCUGAUCUCCAAGCCAAGAACAGCAGAAAGCAGCAGAAAGCUCCAGGAACCUCCAACAACACCACCGCUUUCUGGACUCUCAAUAUUUGUGGUGUUUUCCAGAAACUUCCUCUCAGGUUUGCUGAGAUAUUUCAGGCUGAACAUGGAUCCACUGCUUCAGAAAGAGCCAAAAGAAACUGCAUGUUAACAUGCUGCCACCUGGUGUUGAAGUCAUGAACAUGAAAAUAUCAAAUCCUUCAGAGACUUUAAUCUAAACAUUUAAAACUGAGGGGGAAAAAGGAAGAAACUUUUUAAAAAAGGAGAAAAUUGUGUUCCAAGUUUGAUCUGACUGACGACUGAUUUUCUGCUUCAUUGUCUAAACUCUGUCUAAUGCUCUCAAAAGACAGAGUGAUGAAUGAAUGUGGCAUAAAUUGAUGGUCAAUAGGAACCUAAGUGGUGCAAAACUUCAAAUAUUAAAUGAGGAUUCUUUACCAAGAUCAAAUGUACAACUAUAAAACCAUUAAAGGCGGAUUUCAUCAGUGAAAGAAAA